rnacentral:tRNA from 1 species
CGCAUAGCUCAGCUGGUUAGAGCGCCACCUUCACACGGUGGAAGUCGCAGGUUCGAAUCCUGCUGCGCCC